GGAGCUGUGGCUUAGUGGUAGAGCGUUUGCUUGACAAGCAGAAGGUCCCCAGUUCAAUCCCCGGCACCUCCA